GUGAUUUAAUAGCGUGCACCGUAAUAACGAAGGAUGGGGACCACGUUCAGCGAUUCCUGGCUGUGGACAUCUAUCAGAUGAGUCUAGUGGAACCAGACAGUAAAAGACUCGGUUGGGGAGUUGUGAAGUUUGCUGGUUUAUUACAGGAUAUGCAAGUAACUGGUGUAGAAGAUGACAGCAGAGCUUUAAAUAUCACCAUCCACAAACCAGCAUCAACUCCCCACUCCAAGCCGUUUCCCAUUCUUCAAGCUACUUUUAUCUUCUCUGACCACAUCCGUUGUAUAAUAGCCAAG